AUACUUUUUAACUUUUGUGAAUUUUAUUAUUUGAACAAUAGUACUAGAUGAAAUUCAGCACUAUAAUGCCUACAAUAUAAAGGUGAUUUUUGAGAAUUACAUUAUUCCCACAUAUUUUGUUUAUUGAUGUUGUGCUGCAAGUUACUUUAUAAUAGUACCAUGCAAUUCACUUGCACAGAUUACACAAUUUGAAAAAUGGCAAUAAGCAUUUUGAAACCAGACUGCCACCAAAAUUUCAAAAGCUGUCAGUGGGGUGUGGAGGAGGGGCAUGCCCCAAGGCUUGCACUUAACCAACAUUCACAUGCACGGUCCUGGGCAGAACCCUGAUUAGGUGUUGGUGUGCAUUGCAAUUCACAGCAAGACGUUUCUGUACUUUGAAAAAUAUUUUACGACAGUGUGGGCAUGUGGCCAUUGUAAUCCUCGCAUAGUAGGUGAUUUUGGGGCACGAAAGUCUGUCAAAACGCAACAUUGAAUUAAUUGGCUGUCGGCCUGUAAAUCACUUUUCAUAUUUCAUUUAAUGUUCUGAACAAUAUUACCCUGGAUUCCAGAGCCUUCGACAGUAAAUAAUAAAUUGAAAUGUCGCGAAGGCUCUGGUUCAACGGGGCGAUUCUUUGAUUAAACCGCGCCAAACACAAAACAGAAUUAGUGGUUUUAGUACAGAAUCCAGUGUAGAACAAUAUGUGAAAAUUGCAGAAUUUACGUGAAAUGCAUCGGGAGAAAAGCUUGGUUGCUAAAUGUCACCCCUCUCAACUUCAAAAUACAAACAUUUCUGAAGCUGAAGCAGAAAUGUGUUGGACUUUCAUGGUUGCCCAUGUUGUUUCCCAAUUACAUACUCUGUCUUGAAGGUAUCCAUUUUUCGUCGUAUGGAAUUGAAAAUGAACAAGAUGGCUAAAUUUCUGCAUGUCGAAUCUUCUCCAGAACGCAGGAACAUGAUGUUAUUAUUUCAGAAACUAUAGAUAUUGAAAUUUUUCAGGGAAGCACAUGCCAACUAAAACAUCCCACCACCUAUUGUAUAAUGGCCAUGUUGCCCCUUUCCAUUACAAUUUUGAUAUUACGAUCAAACAACCUUCAUACAAUAUUACAGUUACUCCAUGUGAACGUGUGCAUAUAGUGAGGGUUCAGAGCAAGUGCCUUUCACCUGUGGCGGACACUUCACGAAAUAUUGGGGGGGGGGGGUCAACAUGCAUGUCAAAUGGGGUUUCGGUGUCCGUUUAAGGCUCUAAAUUAUGCGAAUCGUUCAGAACAUAGAUCACUUGAUGAAAUGAAUAAAGAGUACCGAGUUAUGCCAUUUGACUGACAUUAGAUACUUUUUCUAAGAUAAUUAAUUAUGUCCAUUAGUGUUGUUUAAUGUACAGUCAUAACUAUCAAUUCUAUAAAUGGUUUAAAUAUUUUUAUCAGUAGAGCUGCAAGGAAUCCUGCACAGAACAAAACAGAUUGUAUAAAAUGCGUAUGUUGCGGCAUCAUUGGCAAUCAUUGCACAGUAUCAUAUGCUUGCUAUAUGGCUAACUUAAUUAGCUUAAGUUUUAUUUAAUAGUCGUUAUUUAUAAUAUGACAAUUACGUUAUAUGGGUAUAAAUUGUAUGCUUGCCACUUGCUCCUAAACAAUGCUUGUGAAUUGUGAUAUUUGGUACCAGACUUUAAUAAGAGAUCGUUGGUUCGUUAAUUCUCUCGUUGCCCACUCAUGUGAAAAGAGUCAGUCAUUAACGCUUUGCCGAAAGUAGUGCACGUGGGCUUUCUCCGUGUACUCUUAUGUCUUCCCACAGGGAAAGUUGACAGGGCCCGGGUUAUGAUAAGCUUAGUAGGUAUAGUCAAGAAAGUAAGAUCACAAUUGUUGUAAAGAUAAAAUAGUCUAGGUUAAGUAUAUAAUUAGAUUAGCGCGUAAU
rnacentral:lncRNA from 1 species